rnacentral:rRNA from 1 species
UACGUAGGGUGCGAGCGUUAAUCGGAAUUACUGGGCGUAAAGCGUGCGCAGGCGGUUUUGUAAGACAGGUGUGAAAUCCCCGGGCUUAACCUGGGAACUGCGCUUGUGACUGCAAGACUUGAGUAUGGCAGAGGGGGGUAGAAUUCCACGUGUAGCAGUGAAAUGCGUAGAGAUGUGGAGGAAUACCGAUGGCGAAGGCAGCCCCCUGGGUCAAUACUGACGCUCAUGCACGAAAGCGUGGGGAGCAAACAGGAUUAGAUACCCUGGUAGUCCACGCCCUAAACGAUGCCAACUAGGUGUUGGGGAAGGAGACUUCCUUAGUACCGUAGCUAACGCGUGAAGUUGGCCGCCUGGGGAGUACGGUCGCAAGAUUAAA